GACGUAGGGUGCGAGCGUUGUCCGGAUUUAUUGGGCGUAAAGAGCUCGUAGGCGGCUCGUCGCGUCGUCCGUGAAAACCCGCGGCUUAACCGCGGGCUUGCGGUUGAUACGGGCGGGCUAGAGUUCGGUAGGGGAGACUGGAAUUCCUGGUGUAGCGGUGGAAUGCGCAGAUAUCAGGAGGAACACCGAUGGCGAAGGCAGCUCGCUGGGACGGUACUGACGCUGAGGCGCGAAAGCGUGGGGAGCGAACAGG
rnacentral:rRNA from 1 species